AUUGAACGCUGGCGGCAGGCCUAACACAUGCAAGUCGAGCGAGCGGCGGACGGGUGAGUAAUGUAUGGGGACUGCCCGAUAGAGGGGGAUAACUACUAGAAACGGUAGCUACUAACGCAUACUAUCGGAUAACCCAUAUGGGAUUAGCUAGUAGGUGAGGUAAGGGCUUACUUAGGCGACGAUCCCUAGCUGGUCUGAGAGGAUGAUCAGCCACACUGGUACUGAGACACGGCCCAGACUCCUACGGAGGCAGCAGUGGGGAAUAGUGCACAAUGGGCGCGAGCCUGAUGCAGCCAUGCCGCGUGUAUGAAGAAGGCCCUAGGGUUGUAAAGUACUUUCAGUCGGGAGGCGUUACCGACAGAAGAAGCACCGGCUAACUCCGUGCCAGCAGCCGCGGUAAUUC
rnacentral:rRNA from 1 species